AUGGGAAUACUUAUACCUUAUAUAGUAACAUUUCAAAAAAUGGCAUUUAUAGGAGGUCAUGAAAAUAACCUCCUACCACGUUGUUCCACGGCUGCUGUUCCAUUUCAGGUUGGACAUAGGAAGAACAUAGAGCUAUGGUUACUUAACGGUACGGGAAGAGCACCAUCCUCUUUCACCUUUUGCUGCAUUGUUAAUGUUAGAUCCUGAUCUUACCUGUCUGAAUUCAUGCACAUGAAUGUUCCCAUUCAUUGAGGGACGGAGAGGAAAUAUGCUGAAUUACCUGUAGGAGGUGUGCCUGCUUCUGUUAAUAGAUGUACCUGCUCUAUGGAUUAAUUCCUAACUGAUCAGAUUCUGUACUGAGGUAUGCUGGAAUCCUUCUCAGGUGAGCAGAGCUACACCCAUGCAGAGCACCUUAACGUGAUUGAUUUCAUCCCACACGUUUAAACUUGCCUUACAAACUUGUUUUCAUAGCCCAACUGAAAUCUGCCCCCUCCAUUCCCCAAUUUCAGGCGAUGUCUUCUCAUAGAUCCUGCAUGCAAUAGCACCAGUGUGACCCAUCACUUCAUUACAGCAAUGUCCAAAGCUGUGUAUUGCACUGAGGAGGAGUUUAUCUGGUCAGAAUGGACCCAGUCCAGGAACAAAUAAAGGAGUUUGGAAUCUGGUUAUUUCUGGGCCA
rnacentral:lncRNA from 1 species